UCCGCUGCGCCACAGGAGUUGGCGAGAGAGAGAGGGAAGCAAGGGCUUGGAGUGUACAAGGCAUCCGCCUGGACUUCAACUUGCAUCUCUUUUACUCUACACUGAUGGAUGGAUAGAUGAGGGGAAGCUGACUGGGAAGAGGGAGGAGAGGAGGAUGGCUGGCAGUGCUCUGGCUCAGAUGGCGCUGGUCGUGGAGAUUUUCUGCCAGGAAGUGAUGAAAAGGAGAAGGUUGAACAAUCCCCUUGCUCUGGCUACCUCGAGGAUUCAGAAGCACCAGGAAAAAGUGGAAGCCGGAGCAGUCUCUGGAGUGGAUUAGGCAAGCAGGUGCAGAUCUGGGCUGGCGACCGAAGACUAACGUUCAGCGAGAAGACCGAGCGGCGCACGCUGGUAUCGGAGCUAUGUUGCCCGGGAAGCCUGCGAGCCAGGCAGGCAUGAGAACUGACUAUCCUGGGGAAGUACAGUAGUUUCAGCUCGCUAGAAACCCGGCAGCGGGUCUUGACGGCACACUUGGAGGGAUACAUCGUUCUGCCAAUCAACCCACGAUAAAGACAACACCCAAACUGAAGCUGAAAACACUCCUUUGGAUUUCGAGGAAGCCACCAUGCAAAAGGUUGUUCCCUGUAAUCCUAGUCUGAGAGGGGGAGAUUAAACGCCCAUAAUGUUGAAGAUUCACGUCAAGGUAUGCCAACAUCUGCAGCAUCUCAGCAGAGAAAGGUGCCAUGAAUAGUGAAGCCAGUGAAGCCCUCUUAAGAUUUGCUUGGCAGUCCAAAGAUACAGAUGGGAACUGAAGUUUCUCCCCAGCACGACUGUGAUAAUUGGAUUUUGCGGACACCUGUAUGAGUGCAGUAUAUCCAGGGGAUUAUAAGCAGGGAUGGGGGGAGCGUGGCUGUUUGCUGUCCUCGGUGUCACUUCCUUCAAGCAUACAGAUAACUGGCCUGGCCUGCAGAGAUAGCAGCCCUCUAUCACAUCAAGAGCUGCUCAAAUCCCCAGACAGAGUGUUUGUCUUAGGGGACGGGGUCACACACACACACACACACACACAGACACACACACACACACACACCUGUGACUGGGACAUGGAAGCCUCCCUCUGCUCAAGGUGUCUGAAUGAGGGCUUGUGUGUGUCAGAGAAAUGGGGAACCAGUGAGUGUGCUUACAUGUGUAUGAGUGCAUGAAUGUGUGUGUGUGUGUGUGUGUGUGCGCCUGGACCCAUGUAAUAUGUGUGUCUCUUGGCCCGCAGUCAUGGUAGGCAGUGUGGUGAAUCAAGGUGUCAUCUUCUAGUGGUCAGGAAAGCCAGCUGUGUGUGUGCGUGCACGCGCAUCCCUUUUGUGUUGGCACAUGUGUUCCAUGCUGUUGUCCGUGUGUGAACCAUUCUCUGCUAGCAGAGGAAGACAGCUGUGUGUGUCCAUAUAUAAUGUACAUGGUUGUGUGUGUGUGUGUGUGUGAGAGAGAGAGAGAGAGAGAGAGAGAGAGAGAGAAAGAUGCAUGUUAGUAUUAAGUGUUGUAAAAUGACAUAUGAUCUGUUGCUGGCAUGUGCACAGCAGGGUCUGAACUGUUGAAUGUUGUGUGUGGAGGUGUCAUCUGCUGGUAGCUGAGAGAGACAGCAGUGAGUGUGUGUGCGUCUGUGCGUGUGUGUGUGUCGAUGUGAGAGGCAGCUCCACUGACAGUACCAUGUCAACAGAGCGCUUGCUGCUGCCGCUCCGAUCCAGGUGCAGACCAAAUGAGUCAUCAGAACCUCCUGGCCAAAGCAAACAGGAUUUAUCAUGGCUAUUUGCCAUACAAUCAUAUGUCUGGUGUUAAAUAUAAAUUAAGAUAUGUAUGUACUGUAUGCAUCUCUGUGUGUAUGUGAAAAUAAACAGUUACUUUGCCCAAAAUAAAACAAGAAUAAGGCAUGGUGCCUCACCCAUUUAACAAGUACAAGAACAGCUCUAGAUGACACCGUUUUGGGGAAUAAAGGUUAUGUUUAGGGUUGCAAUCAAUAGCAGUAAUUUGUCAUGACACUGACUGAUUCAUGUUGACAUUGUAAUGAAUUCCAGCGAUGAAGGUUUUUUUCAGACACAGCACAUUAAAGUAAAGCAGCCACUCCUAUAACAUCUCCUCCAUAGUCAUCCAUGUAUGUCCUGGACCAAAGACAGAUACCUACUACCUUAUCGUGCCAAUAUACUGUACAUGUUGUCUCCUGAAAUCAUAAUGUUGAAAUCUCACAGCUUUGGGUGUGUUACCAAAUAUAUCUCUGAUAGAAGCUGUCUUGAAUAGUAAUCUAUUUUCACAUUGAACCUUAUUGUGAAUUAACUUCCAGGGCCCUAAUUCAAACACUGGGCAAAGUGAAACGUUAGUCUAUGAGCAAAAUUCUCUCUAACAGCAUCCUGUGGCGUGUGGCUGCUUUUAACUGACUCACCACUGCUUGUGCUUAGGAUCUUUCUUGUGAUAUCAUAUUUGCAAAUAGAUUUUGCAUAGUUAGUACGCAAACUUUAGUUAGACUUUAGACUUUGCACUUUCCCAUCAUUUAAAUUAGGCCCCCAGUGUUUUUCACUCUG